rnacentral:rRNA from 1 species
CAGCGCCGCGGUAAUACGUAGGGUGCAAGCGUUAAUCGGAAUUACUGGGCGUAAAGCGUGCGCAGGCGGUUAUAUAAGUCAGAUGUGAAAUCCCCGGGCUCAACCUGGGAACUGCAUUUGAGACUGUAUGGCUAGAGUGUGUCAGAGGGGGGUAGAAUUCCACGUGUAGCAGUGAAAUGCGUAGAUAUGUGGAGGAAUACCGAUGGCGAAGGCAGCCCCCUGGGAUAACACUGACGCUCAUGCACGAAAGCGUGGGGAGCAAACAGGAUUAGAUACCCCGGUAGUCCCUGUCUCUUAUACA